UACGCGAGCUGGGUUCAGAACGUCGUGAGACAGUUCGGUCCCUAUCCGUCGCGGGCGUAGGAAAUUUGAGAGGACCUGUCCUUAGUACGAGAGGACCGGGAUGGACAUACCUCUGGUGUACCAGUUGUGCCGCCAGGCGCAUCGCUGGGUAGCUACGUAUGGAUGUGAUAAACGCUGAAAGCAUCUAAGUGUGAAACACACCUCGAGAUGAGAUUUCCCAUUCCUUUAUGGAAGUAAGACCCCUGAAAGAUGAUCAGGUAGAUAGGUUAGAAGUGGCAGUGCGGUGACGCAUGAAGCGGACUAAUACUAAUCGGUCGAGGACUUAACCAAG
rnacentral:rRNA from 1 species